UGAGCCUAAAAGACAAUCGCUUGUAAUUCAAGAGGAAAGUCCGGGCAACAUAGAGCAAGGUAGUCGCUAACGGCGACCGUCCGUAAGGAUAGGGAAAGUACCACAGAAACUAUACCGCCGGUUUACCGGUAAGGGUGAAAAGAGCGGGGUAAGAGCCCACAGUGCUUUGUAGCGAUACAUCGCGGAGGCAAACCCUACCUGUUGCAAGGAGUGCUACUAAGCCCCUGCUCGGGGACGCACGCUCACCGCUAGAGCGCCGCAGCAAUGCAGCGCCAAGAUAGAUGAUUGUCCACUAUAUAUUAUAUAUAGUGACAGAACCCGGCUUACUGAAGGCUCAAAAC
rnacentral:RNase_P_RNA from 1 species